AGUGAACGCUGGCGGUAGGCCUAACACAUGCAAGUCGAACGGCAGCACAGUAAGAGCUUGCUCUUACGGGUGGCGAGUGGCGGACGGGUGAGGAAUACAUCGGAAUCUACUUUUUCGUGGGGGAUAACGUAGGGAAACUUACGCUAAUACCGCAUACGACCUACGGGUGAAAGCAGGGGAUCUUCGGACCUUGCGCGAUUGAAUGAGCCGAUGUCGGAUUAGCUAGUUGGCGGGGUAAAGGCCCACCAAGGCGACGAUCCGUAGCUGGUCUGAGAGGAUGAUCAGCCACACUGGGACUGAGACACGGUCCAGACUCCUACGGGAGGCAGCAGUGGGGAAUAUUUGACAAUGGGCGCAAGCCUGAUCCAGCCAUACCGCGUGGGUGAAGAAGGCCUUCGGGUUGUAAAGCCCUUUUGUUGGGAAAGAAAAGCAGCAGGUUAAUACCCCGCUGUUCUGACGGUACCCAAAGAAUAAGCACCGGCUAACUUCGUGC
rnacentral:rRNA from 1 species